rnacentral:misc_RNA from 1 species
GACCUUCUAAGAGUCAUCAGCCAUCACCGGGCUCGACUUGCUACGCCAAUUCGAACUAUUCAGAAGAUAUAUAGCGAUGCUGACUUGGAAAAUGUUCCAUUCGCGGAUGCUAUCUAUAACCAUGGUGGAGUGGCAUCCAACCGUCCUUUGCUACUAAUUGAACCUUCUUACAGAAUCAAUGGGGAAGAUAAAGCGAAAUCUCAAACUCGUUCUGGGCGCGGAGUUGGAGACCAAGAAAAUAGGGCUACACCAAGGUCUUCAUCUGACACCAAAACAGGAGGUAACCCAAAUUUAGAUCCCAAAGCCAAAGAAACACCAAAAUCUGACCCUAUGGUGGAUGCCAGAAUUGGUGAAACACCAAAUUCCGAUGCCAAGGAACGCACACAAGCUGCAACAGCUUCCACCUCUGAUCCCAGGGUUGGUGAUAAAAUGCCAGUGAAAUCAUCACCUAAUUCUGUCCCCAAGACAUCAAACCUUGCAGAAGCAUCAAUUUCUGAACCCAAAGCAGCAGGCUCAGUUUCCAAUAAUGUGACACAAAACAAAAAGAUCUCCGACAGCAAUAAGCCUAACAAUGUGAGUCCUGGGAAUACAAGACAGAAUAGCCAGCUUGAUAAUCUUUCAGUUUCCUUAUCAGAAGCCGGUACUGACGAAGCAAGUGGAUUGCAGCAAUCUUCCCCAUUGAAACUGGGAGCACAGAGACAAACAGUCACUCAGCCAUCAGUGUCAAGACCU